AUUGAACGCUGGCGGCAUGCCUUACACAUACAAGUCGAACGGCAGCACGGGAGCAAUCCUGGUGGCGAGUGGCGAACGGGUGAGUAAAGUAUCGGAACGUGCCCAGUCGUGGGGGAUAACGUAGCGAAAGUUACGCUAAUCCCGCAUACGAUCUAUGGAUGAAAGCGGGGGAUCGCAAGACCUCGCGCGAUUGGAACGGCCGAUAUCAGAUUAGGUAGUUGGUGGGGUAAAGGCUCACCAAGCCGACGAUCUGUAGCUGGUCUGAGAGGACGACCAGCCACACUGGGACUGAGACACGGCCCAGACUCCUACGGGAGGCAGCAGUGGGGAAUUUUGGACAAUGGGCGAAAGCCUGAUCCAGCCAUGCCGCGUGCAGGAUGAAGGCCUUCGGGUUGUAAACUGCUUUUGUACGGAACGAAAAGGUUUGGCCUAAUAAGCUGAGCUCAUGACGGUACCGUAAGAAUAAGCACCGGCUAACUACGUGCCAGCCGCCGCCGUAA
rnacentral:rRNA from 1 species